rnacentral:rRNA from 1 species
CCCUUAGAUGUCCGGGGCUGCACGCGCGCUACACUGAAUGAAUCAGCGUGCUAGAAAACCUUGUUUGACAUGGCUAGGUAACCCAUUGAAAAUCAUUCGUGAUUGGGAUCGGGACUUGCAAAUGUGUCCCUUGAACGAGGAAUUCCCAGUAAGUGCGGGUCAUCAGCUCGCGUUGAUUACGUCCCUGCCCUUUGUACACACCGCCCGUCGCUGCCCGGAACUGAGCCGUUUCGAGAAGACUGCGGAUUGCUGACUUGAGGCCUUCACGGGCUUCUAGUCGGUGAAAAUCAAUUUAAUCGCAGCGGCUUGAACCGGGCAAAAGUCGUAACA